GGCGUCGUGGCGAAGUGGUAACGCAUUCCCCUCCGGUUUUUGCAGGAAAGUUGGUGAGGGAAAGGUCGCGGGUUCGAUCCCCGUCGACGUCA